UAAAAGGCUUUUUUAAAAGCCUUCAAUUGAACUUACAACAAUAAGG
rfam:Macaca mulatta chromosome X, whole genome shotgun sequence.